rnacentral:tRNA from 1 species
UCCCUGGUGGUCCCGUGGUUAAGAAUCUGCCUUUCAAAGCAGGAGUUGUGGGUUCGAUCCCUGCUCAGGGAA